rnacentral:rRNA from 1 species
CCUACGGGAGGCAGCAGUGAGGAAUAUUGGUCAAUGGACGAGAGUCUGAACCAGCCAAGUAGCGUGAAGGAUGACUGCCCUAUGGGUUGUAAACUUCUUUUAUAUGGGAAUAAAAUGUUCCACGUGUGGGAUUUUGUAUGUACCAUAUGAAUAAGGAUCGGCUAACCCCGUGCCAGCAGCCGCGGUAAUACGGUGGAUACGAGCGUUAUCCGGAUUUAUUGGGUUUAAAGGGAGCGUAGGUGGAUUGUUAAGUCAGUUGUGAAAGUUUGCGGCUCAACCGUAAAAUUGCAGUUGAAACUGGCAGUCUUGAGUACAGUAGAGGUGGGCGGAAUUCGUGGUGUAGCGGUGAAAUGCGUAGAUAUCACGAAGAACUCCGAUUGCGAAGGCAGCUCACUGGACUGCAACUGACACUGAGGCUCGAAAGUGUGGGGAUCAAACAGGAUUAGAUACCCGGGUAGUC